rnacentral:rRNA from 1 species
UACGUAGGUGGCGAGCGUUGUCCGGAAUUAUUGGGCGUAAAGAGCAUGUAGGCGGCUUAAUAAGUCGAGCGUGAAAAUGCGGGGCUCAACCCCGUAUGGCGCUGGAAACUGUUAGGCUUGAGUGCAGGAGAGGAAAGGGGAAUUCCCAGUGUAGCGGUGAAAUGCGUAGAUAUUGGGAGGAACACCAGUGGCGAAGGCGCCUUUCUGGACUGUGUCUGACGCUGAGAUGCAAAAGCCAGGGUAGCGAACGGG